UACGAAGGGGGCUAGCGUUGUUCGGAAUUACUGGGCGUAAAGGGCGUGCAGGCGGUUUGUUAAGUGCGGGGUGAAAGCUCCCGGCUCAACUGGGAGAGGUCCUUGCAUACUGGCAGACUUGAGGGAGGCAGAGGAAAGUGGAAUUCCCGGUGUAGUGGUGAUAUGCGUAGAUAUCGGGAGGAACACCUGUGGCGAAGGCGGCUUUCUGGGCCUUACCUGACGCUGAGACGCGAAAGCGUGGGGAGCGAACCGG
rnacentral:rRNA from 1 species